GUGUCUCUUAAUUUGCCUGAUAGGACCUGUCCUCACUGUGGGCGUGUCAGACUGUUCAUUGAUUCUCCUGAUGCACCUAGCUAGCUAAGGACAUGAUGGACAAUAUAUUCCCAGAUAAAAAAAUAAAUGUCGCAAUUGUAAUAUAUCAGUGUUGGAAUACCAGAACAACUUCUUCACGACUAUCGUACUGGGUAACGUUAGCAACAGAUCUCAGAUAAAUAUUUGAAAACAAAACCAACCUCCAGCAAUUUGCACCGUAGAGGUCACUCAUGAAGGAGCCAAGAUUUGGCUCUGACUCUAAACACAGCCAGCACUCGACCUGAAGCUGACUCACUCUGCACGUAGUGGACCAUUGAGUCCAGGAGGGAGGAAUACCAGGAAGAGUUAAACUGUGUAGGUGAAAGGCUUGGAGAUGACAGGUCCUGUUCGAGGGACGAGUAAGCAGUGAUAAGAGUCGGUGAGAGAGCACACGCACUGCAGAUAGGACGACCUGCCACAGAGAAACCAAGAGAGGGCUUAGACAUCUUCCAUCGAGAUACACUUCCUUUUUUAAUAAUCUUUGUAGAGGGAGGCAAGGAGAUGUUUUCAUUUACCUAAAAACCACCAACACUCUCUCAACCUUUAAGACUGAUCUUCACUUUGCUAUUAUUGUCUUAUUCUAAGCCAAUGAUGAUGUGAUAGGGGGUGAAGUUACAUAGUGAAAUGUGAGUGGGUAGAGACAAAGGCUGCUUGUGUACUGUUCCCUAGCACAGUUAAGAGUAUUUGGUUACAGUUAUGCUUUUGCUGCCGUGGCAAAAGAGGACACACUCAUCACUCUGUGGCAGUCUCGGUGGAGUGAGAAAUCACAACAUAAUUUCCAGACAGGAAGGAACUUGCUGGUGGAACAUGCGUGAGGCUGAAGGCCACUGAAUAGGCGUGAACAUUAACACAAACACUGCCAGUCAAAAUGACUGAUUACCUCAGAGGGCGUGCUGUGAAAAGUCAAUUCAGCACUCAAACCCCCUCUAUAUCCCAGCGUUUACAUGCUGGCCCAUAAGCCUUCAUGCACCUCUCCCUGGGGUAUUCAAAAUGUAUAAUCAUUAAAAUGCUACCAGUGGUUGGCCUUCAUUGUAAUUUUUGUAGUGUAGAUUGAAACUUUGCCAUUUGUCUUCAACAGCCACACCUACAAGAGUGAAUGCAUGUUUUAAAAUGUUCCUGAAUUUACUGUG